GUUGAAACACUGGUUUCUGUAUGAUCACUGAAGUUAAGCAACAUUGAGCCUAGUCAGUACCUUGAUGGGUGACCACUUGGGAAUACCAGGUGAUGUAAG